UAUAUUGGUAGUGUAAUAUCUCGAAUUUUUUUUACCAAGCAUUACAUCCUAUACCUAAAUCUUAUGCUCAAAAGGUCAUAUAAUGCUUAGAGCGGAGAAGUAGUUUGGAACAAGUUGGAAUUUUUAGGGAAAGAAGACGACCUUAGUGCAUUAAAUUUAAACGGUCACAACUCCCAAUGUAUAAGGAGUUUAGCCAUGAAAUAAAGUAUCAAAUUAAAGCCCUUGAACUCUAGUUUUGAAUGCUUCAAACCGUUUGUCAUUUUGACAGUCCUACAAAACUGUCACAUUUUAUUGGGGGCUGUCAAAGAGCUUGUUUAGGCGCUAAAGUACCGAUUCAUGGUGGGCAGCGUCACCCAAGCGUUGAUCCGUUUGAGCGCAAAGCAGUGGGCAUAGCAUCCAGAAUGUACAUUUCGUGGAGUUGACUAUACGAGGGUUGUUAAGAAGACUUGGACAGUUGAUUUGAGAUUCAGCUCAAAUUUAGAUAAUGUGAUCAGAUGCGGCAUGUGAAAAGUAUUCAACCUCGUUAGGCGUGGUGUCCCGGAGGCAGGACUAUCUACCUCAUACUUGCAGGUGCUAAUUAACACGUUCAUGUAUGAGAGAAAUAGUCAAUCUCCACGAGUGUGAGUAUCCCCACAACCAGGGUAGGACAACAAUCCGGCACUUGCAGGUGCUAACAUGCACAUAUUUAGUUUGGGAGAAGUGGCCAACCUCCUCAAGUGUGAGUGUUUCCAGGGCCAGGGUAGGAUAUCUACUCCACAUACCGAUGCCAUGGUUUGUAAAACCUAUUUAGAAUAAAAUGUUUCCAGUUAUACUCGGAUUCAAUGCAUAUCUCAGAUUUCAUGAUUCAAUUUCAGCUUAUAGAUUUCAAUGUUAACUAAAUGAAUU